rnacentral:ncRNA from 1 species
CUACAAACUUGAUUCUAUUGAGCCUUGUUAUCGAAACCUGCUAAAUGGUAACUUCCAAAUUCAGAGAAACCUUGGAAUGGAAAAUGGGAAUCCUGAGCCAAAUCUGUUUUUUUUUAAAAAAUAAGUGGUUCUUAAACUAGAACCCAAAGGAAAAGGAGGUGCAGAGACUCAAUGGAAGUUGUUCUAACGAAUCAAAGUAAUAAAUAUUAAUCACAGAAACCAUAUUAUAAUAUAGGUUCUUUAUUUUAUUUUUAGAAUGAAAUUAGG